rnacentral:rRNA from 1 species
GAUGAACGCUGGCGGCGUGCCUAAUACAUGCAAGUCGAGCGAACAGAUGAGGAGCUUGCUCCUCUGACGUUAGCGGCGGACGGGUGAGUAACACGUGGAUAACCUACCUAUAAGACUGGGAUAACUUCGGGAAACCGGAGCUAAUACCGGAUAAUAUAUUGAACCGCAUGGUUCAAUAGCGAAAGACGGUUUUGCUGUCACUUAUAGAUGUAUCCGCGCCGCAUUAGCUAGUUGGUAAGGUAACGGCUUACCAAGGCAACGAUGCGUAGCCGACCUGAGAGGGUGAUCGGCCACACUGGAACUGAGACACGGUCCAGACUCCUACGGGAGGCAGCAGUAGGGAAUCUUCCGCAAUGGGCGAAAGCCUGACGGAGCAACGCCGCGUGAGUGAUGAAGGUCUUCGGAUCGUAAAACUCUGUUAUUAGGGAAGAACAAAUGUGUAAGUAACUAUGCACGUCUUGACGGUACCUAAUCAGAAAGCCACGGCUAACUACGUG